GACGAACGCUGGCGGCGUGCUUAACACAUGCAAGUCGAACGAAGAGCGACGGAAGCUUGCUUCUAUCAAUCUUAGUGGCGAACGGGUGAGUAACGCGUAAUCAACCUGCCCUUCAGAGGGGGACAACAGUUGGAAACGACUGCUAAUACCGCAUACGAUCUAACCUCGGCAUCGAGGAUAGAUGAAAGGUGGCCUCUACAUGUAAGCUAUCACUGAAGGAGGGGAUUGCGUCUGAUUAGCUAGUUGGAGGGGUAACGGCCCACCAAGGCGAUGAUCAGUAGCCGGUCUGAGAGGAUGAACGGCCACAUUGGGACUGAGACACGGCCCAGACUCCUACGGGAGGCAGCAGUGGGGAAUCUUCCGCAAUGGACGAAAGUCUGACGGAGCAACGCCGCGUGAGUGAUGACGGCCUUCGGGUUGUAAAGCUCUGUUAAUCGGGACGAAAGGCCUUCUUGCGAAUAGUGAGAAGGAUUGACGGUACCGGAAUAGAAAGCCACGGCUAACAACGUG
rnacentral:rRNA from 1 species